UUCAUUCACUCCACAAACAUUUUUUAAGAUAUCUAUAGAGCACUAGGGCAAAAGAAAUAGCAAAAACAAAGACAAUCACUUUGCAGAAAGUCUUUCCUGAGCCGCUGCCUAAUUGAACUUUCUCUGACCUUCCGUAGCGAGCAUGCCUAGAAGUUACAAUUGUCACUGACCAUGGAACAAGCUUCAUGGUAGAUGCUGGGGAAGUAAGAGAAAUUCACAGCCUACUGUAGAAGCAGUAUCAUCCCUGCAUCCCGGAUCACUAAACAUAAUCUCACACUGAGAGACGUUUUCUGUAAGAGGUUAACUUGUUGUAUGAUGAAGCAGGAUAUUCAAUAUGGUAGGCUGAAGAUGCCCAACGUGAUUGCUCCACCAGAAGCCAUAAUCUGGUCACUUUGCCAAGGGUGAAGAAAUUUGAUUGGAGGAGAACUCAGUGUGAUGCUCAAGGACCCGAGUUUGAUCCCGAGUACCAACAAAAUAAGAAAACAGAAAGCAACACCGACACCGCAGAAACCGGACAAAUGAGGGAGAAGUCCACGGAAUUUAUUGCUGCUGAAAGGAUCAAAUAACCAAAGUGAAGCACUGAUCUAAGCUCCUGCUUCAUUCUUCUCUGCAUUAGAUAUCUCCCUUCGCCUCUCCAGAUCUGCUGUCCUGAAUUCGCACACACUGCUAUGUGCUGAGAAGUUGGUAUGCUUCAUACCAGCAAUAUUCUAUACGCUUUGAUUGAUGGUACCAG
rnacentral:lncRNA from 1 species